GACGAACGCUGGCGGCGUGCUUAACACAUGCAAGUCGAACGGUAAGGCCCUUCGGGGUACACGAGUGGCGAACGGGUGAGUAACACGUGGGUGAUCUGCCCUGCACUUCGGGGUAAGCCUGGGAAACUGGGUCUAAUACCGGAUAGGACCACUGCCUGCAUGGGUGGUGGUGGAAAGCUUUUGCGGUGUGGGAUGGGCCCGCGGCCUAUCAGCUUGUUGGUGGGGUGAUGGCCUACCAAGGCGACGACGGGUAGCCGGCCUGGGAGGGUGACCGGCCACACUGGGACCGAGAUACGGCCCAGACUCCUACGGGGGGCAGCAGUGGGGAAUAUUGCACAAUGGGCGCAAGCCUGAUGCAGCGACGCCGCGUGAGGGAUGACGGCCUUCGGGUUGUAAACCUCUUUCAGCACCGACGAAGCGCAAGUGACGGUAGGUGCAGAAGAAGGACCGGCCAACUACGUGCCAGCCGCCGCGGUAA
rnacentral:rRNA from 1 species